rnacentral:rRNA from 1 species
UACGUAGGGUGCAAGCGUUUGUCCGGAAUUAUUGGGCGUAAAGAGCUUGUAGGCGGUUUGUCGCGUCUGCUGUGAAAUUUCGGGGCUCAACCCCGAACUUGCAGUGGGUACGGGCAGACUAGAGUGUGGUAGGGGAGACUGGAAUUCCUGGUGUAGCGGUGAAAUGCGCAGAUAUCAGGAGGAACACCGAUGGCGAAGGCAGGUCUCUGGGCCAUAACUGACGCUGAGACACGAAAGCGUGGGUAGCAAACAGG